UACGUAGGCAGCGAGCGUUGUUCGGAAUUACUGGGCGUAAAGAGUGUGUAGGCGGUGCUCUAAGUUUGGUGUGAAAUCUCCCGGCUCAACUGGGAGGGUGCGCCGAAAACUGGAAUGCUUGAACGUGGGAGAGGAAAGCGGAAUUCCUGGUGUAGCGGUGAAAUGCGUAGAUAUCAGGAGGAACACCUGCGGUGUAGACGGCUUUCUGGACCAUUGUUGACGCUGAGACACGAAAGCGUGGGUAGCAAACAGG
rnacentral:rRNA from 1 species